UUAAAGAAACGCAGUAUUUCUCGGAUAUAAGCACCGUCGAAAAUACGCGUUAUUGUAUGAUGAUUAUUAAAAACACAAGUGCAACAUACAAAGAUCUUCGUCUGAAUAAUGCACAAACAAAUACGUAUUUUUGUGGACAUUGGCCUAAAUUAAGAAAAAUUAAUACUUCUGAGAAAAGAAUUUAUGUGGAAAGUAGCAGAAAUGGAAGUGCUGCAAGAUGUCGAUAAUACGAGCGCACUUGAAACUCUUUUAUGAAAAUCUAAAAAAAACAAGCACUGAAAGCUGAAUAAUAAUGGCACUCAGAGUAGUUCAGCGCAAAAAACAUUUUUAAAAACCAAAGGAAAUUUAAUGAAAUAUAUUUUUUCGCGAAAUUGGCAAAACUGUGUGCGGCACGAAAAAACAAAACAAAAAAAAA